rnacentral:lncRNA from 13 species
GUGAUCUUAUUUAAUCUUUUUUUUUUUUUUUGUAGAAGGAAGGAGCUUGCCCAAGUCCCCCAGCUAGAAAGGGCUGGUAGCACUUCCAAUCUGGUUCUGGCCAUCUUCAAACUCUAGUGUAAACUCUAGUUCUGUAUCAUAUCCCAUGGGAAAAGAGGUCCACCAUUAAACAGCUUUGGAAACUGGAGUACUAUCUCACCCCACUGGAGAUUCAGAGUUUGCAUUAGGAAAUUAAAGAUCCUGAAGAACCCUGACCCAGUCUCAGGUCUUGCCUUAGGCAUUGCUCCUUCUGGAAAGCACCCGACCCCACCCCUGUUCUGCAGGGCUGUGUCAGGUAUGCCUCUGUGAUUUGAUUUAUCUUAUUAAUUAUCAUCCUGUCCUCUAAUUGAUUAUUUGUCUGUUUCCUCCUCUAGAUUGCAAGCUUCUGCAAAGAUAUGGAACUUAUUUGUUUUACUCACUGUCCUGUCUCCAAGUAUUUAAUAUAACAGAGACUUACUGAAUAUUGGAAUGGAUGAAUGAAAAUCGUGUCUAGCACAGUGUCAUACUGAUUGCAGAUGAGUUAACUAAAAAGUUAACAUUUACUAGAAGAUGGUAUUUCUUCAUUGUGGUUUGGCCUGAUUUUAUUGGUGGAUCCUGCUGACAACGUUAUAUACUAAUAUUAAAAUGAUAGGCUGAGCAUGGUAGCUCACACUUCUAAUCCCAGGACUUUGGGAGGACAAGGUGGGAGGGUUGUUUGAGCUCAGGAGUUUGAGACCAGCCUGGAUAAUGUAGUGAGAUUCCGUCUCCCAAGGCAAAACAAACCCAAAAGGGGAGCAUAUUAUUGCUCUUUUAAAUAUAUGCCCUGACUAUGAUGUUGCUACAAAAAUAAGCCUGAUCUGGAAGGAGACAGAACCAGUUUUCAGUCCUGAUUCUCUCCUUCCUGGUUGUAUUGGUUGGUUAAUCUCUUUGAGCCUCAAAUCCUUGAGUAGAAAAAUGGGAAUAAUAUAACCUGCCUUGUGGGUUCUAUGUAAUAAGUGAAUGAAAUAAUAUCUGAAAGGCACUUAGUAUGGGGGCUGGCAAAAAUAAGUACUUAAAAAUGUUAGUCAUGAUUAGUAUUAC